CACAUAUCUUUUCCACUCAUUCCUGGAUUCUUGAGGAAGAUCCACUUAAAAUGCAAGUGUUAAAUACGGUGAUGGGGCCGGAUGGGCCUAGGGUGAUAAACACACUUAUUCUGAGCAUUGAUAGUUAUGCAUAGGACUGUAUGGGGCUGGCGUAGCCCCAGCGGCAUAGGUUCUACUGAGACCUAUCCCCAGAUGGGAGCCAUAAGCACAUGGGCAAUUGUACAGCCAUGUAACCACACCAGUAACUGGCUAGAACCAAGAGCUCCAAAGCUACACAGACAGGUUCCAGUCCUGCUUCUGCCUCCCCUGCUCAGUGCCUGUGUUCACCCAUGGGCAAACCAAGCUCUAAAUAGGAUGAAGCAUGGCAACUACUCAGCACAGUAUCUGGUACAGAGUAAGCCCUCAGAAAUGAUAGUAUUAUUAUUAACAAUAGUAUUAUUCAUCCGAAGUACCUGGGGCUGCGUAUAUCUCAGUUCUCUUUUCCUCCUGGGCAAUUUCCAUUUUCUAAACCGAAGUCCUGCUUUUUCAGCAAGGAAACUGCUAAAUGCUCCCGCAUCAGCGUGUAUGUCUGUGUGUGCGUCUGUGUGUGUGUGUGUGUGUAGGGGCAAGGGGCUCAAGUGUUGGAAGUGGCCCAGCGCGUGUGUGUGUAUGUGUGUAGGGGCUGGGGGGCUUAAAUGUUGCAGGUGGUGCAACGUGUGUGUGUGUGUGUGUGUGUGUCUAAGGGCUGGGGGCUCAAGUGUUGGAAGUGGUGCAGCGUGUGUGUUUGUGUGUGUGUGUUUGCGUGCGUGUAUGGGUGUGUGUAAGGGCUGGGGGCUCAGGCACUGGAGGUGGCUCCGCGUGUGUGUGUGUGUUCAGGGGCUGGGGGCUCAACUGUCAGAGGUGGCCCAGAGGCCGGUUAGAGACUGGGAGGGAGGGCAGAGGCAAGAGAGUCAGCGGGUGCUCUCGCGAGAGUUCACCGAGUUGGUAAAGUUAUUAAAACACAAAAUACACAUUUGCACCAGGAAAAAAAACAACCCCCCGCUUGUCCCGCCCUGUCCCUCCAGGCUGCGCAACGCUGGAGGGCGAUGGGAGCGCGAGACAGAUCUCGUCUCCAUGUACUUUACCUUUCCCUGUACCUCUGCUUGUCUGAGAGGUCUCAAGAUCAUCAUUUGGGACCUCCACUUCUGCUGGGUCUGUCAUCUUAGAUCGCCUUGAUCUUCAGCAUCUUUGUGAAGUUGAACAGGGGAACGACUCUUAUUAUGGAGCUUCUCGCCUUGUAAACAGCGUGUUGGCACGUGUGGAAGCCGAGCCAUGCAGCUCCGUCUCUGGCUUCUGCAAAGCGGCAUGAGGCCUGCUGUUGGUGUGCAGGGGAGUGCAGGCCAACCACACCCCAGGAAUGGGAAACCUUCUUUCGCUCCCAGGAGAGGCUGUGGCAGAGCCAGAGCUAGACUGUGCCUUUACAGAGCAUUUGCUUCUUAUGAACCUGCUCCAAAAUCACUGAUGAGCUCACAAAAGAGAAGCCAUAAAUCAGCAGGCUGGGGCUGGGUCCUUUGCUCACAGCAGGCAGAAGAUGCACCAUGGACCUCCCUCCAAAGGCCCUUUCACCACCACAUUAUCUAUCCUGCCUUCCCACCUUCCCACUGGUCCUGCAGCAGCCCAGCUCCCCAGCUCCUGGAGGCCUGGCGGGUGUCUGCCAUUCAUAUGGUUAAGCUUCCCCAGACCUGCCCGUGUGGGCCCCACCUUGCCACUCCCACCUGUCUGCUCCCAGGACAGCAAUUGUGCAAGAAGCCCCACAGGUGAGCGGGCAGAAGGGCGACAGCCAAAGAGCCUCUCUGCCACGACGCUGGGGCGGGGAGGCUACCUGGCAGCCACUGGAGCGUGGUGACGUGGGCAUGAAGCCUGAGCACCCAGCUCAUCAGAUGACAGAAAGCCUCGGGUAAGAAGAGACCUCCGUGGGAUGCAGUGAUGCCACAGUAGAGGCCUGCUAAGUACCCAGAAGAGUCACUUUAUGUGGGUAUAGACCCUGAGCAUGACUGCACCCACUUGGUCAGCUGUCCAGGCCACGGUCCCUCUGAGGCAAAUCUCGACUUUUCUCCACGUGCCAAAAGAAAACCAUAAUCUGACCGCUGAAGAAAUGGAAAGUGGUGUAGCUUUGACUGAAGCUUUCCUGGGGAAAUGGAAGAGGGGGUUACGUCAAAUACUACAGGGUUUCUGGAAGUCUCUUGUACAUAUCCAUGACCCCACUCCUCCUGCAGCUGCUGCUUCCUCCCUUUGGUGUACCCCAACAACCUCGCCUGCCGUCUCUCCUUUCUCCUGGUUCUGUGUCCCUCUCAGCUGCCCCUCAAAAACCCUUCAACUUCCACAUCUCACUCUGCAAAGCGGGAGGGGUGACUCUUGGCAACGUAGAAGUCUAGUUAGCAAAUUGCAGAGCAAAAGCAAGUCUGGGAAGCCUUAUGUCACCCAUUAAUAUACCCAUUGUUUUUUAAUUUAUUCAUUUUAAAAGUAUUAUAUGUUUUACUCAAACAGAAAGUGAUAGAUCCCAUGUACUGGCCAAUCUGAUCUGACCAAUUUUAACAUUUUCCCCUAUCUUUUCUUUGGAUCUCCCAUUCUCUUUCUCUCUCCCUGACCCUUCUCUCUCUUUUUCUCUCUCUAAAACAUAUUAUAUGGAAGGUAAAGCCCCAAAGGCCAUUUCUAUUAUAUUUUCUCCAUGUCUAGAAUCAGCCCUAUGCAUGUCUGGUGCCAUUUGGUCUGAAUCCAGGAUGGCACUGUGCUUAUGAGCACAGACUUGGAAGCCAGCCUGGCUCUCAGUUCCAACUCUGCACCAACUAGCUGAGUAACCUGGAAGAAGUUGCUUAACUUUGCUCUGCCUCAGUCAAAUAAGAAAGAGGAUAGUAAAUCAAUUCUAUGUGCAAUCAUCAAAUGUUGAUACAUUUAAAGUGUCUGGAGCAGAGCCUGGAAAAAAAUAAAUGCUUAAUAUAUAUUAACUAUUAUUAUGAUCCAUGAAUAAUAAACAGAAUGGCUUUUUGGUGUGUUUUUAAGAUUUGUCUAAAG
ensembl:lincRNA